rnacentral:rRNA from 1 species
UACGAAGGGUGCAAACGUUGCUCGGAAUUAUUGGGCGUAAAGCGCACGUAGGCGGCUUUGCAAGUCGGAUGUGAAAUCCCUCGGCUUAACCAAGGAAGUGCAUCCGAAACUGCAGAGCUUGAGUACUUAAGAGGAUCGCGGAGUUCCCGGUGUAGAGGUGAAAUUCGUAGAUAUCGGGAGGAACACCAGUGGCGAAGGCGGCGAUCUGGGAAGAUACUGACGCUGAGGUGCGAAAGCGUGGGGAGCAAAAGGG